CCGGACCGGCGCACGGGUGAGUAACACGUAUGCAAUCCACCUGUAACAGGGGGAGUAACCCGGACGAAAUACCGGACUAAUACCCACUAAUAUGGGCUCUCCGCAUGGAGGGUCCGAUUAAAGAGAGCAAUUUUGGUUACAGACGAGCAUGCGCUCCAUUAGCCAGUUGGCGGGGUAACGGCCCACCAAAGCGACGAUGGAUAGGGGUUCUGAGAGGAAGGUCCCCCACAUUGGAACUGAGACACGGUCCAA
rnacentral:rRNA from 1 species